rnacentral:rRNA from 1 species
UACGGAGGGUGCAAGCGUUAUCCGGAUUCACUGGGUUUAAAGGGUGCGUAGGAGGGCAGGUAAGUCAGUGGUGAAAUCCCCGAGCUUAACUUGGGAACUGCCGUUGAUACUAUCUGUCUUGAAUAUUGUGGAGGUGAGCGGAAUAUGUCAUGUAGCGGUGAAAUGCUUAGAUAUGACAUAGAACACCAAUUGCGAAGGCAGCUUACUACACAACGAUUGACGCUGAGGCACGAAAGCGUGGGGAUCAAACAGG